GGCUUCUAUGGCUUUUGUUGUCUAUGCUUGUUGCAACCUACAAUCGGCCAUGUUGCAACAAGGGAUUCUUUUCGCGGAUGAGCACGAGGGAGGAUCGAGUUUCGUGUUAGAAUUAUAUAUGAUGCACUUUGACAUAAAUUCUGCAGUGCAAACAGGACACAUAGAAAUCAUAAAAGGAUCUACGUAAAUAAAAAUAAGCAGAGCUUUAGUGAUUAUUCAAUCAUAUGUAUAUAUAUACCGCAAGUAUACAUAAAUCUUCAAGGCACUCCUGAUGUAUAUUACAUUCAUAUUUUACAAGUGUUGUGUUGUCCAGCAUUUGAUGAACGGGGCAUUUUGACGAGACGCAAAAUAGAAAUUAUUUUACUAAUUAUAAAAAGCGAUAUAAUAUCGCUCUGUGUACGCGUAUUUAUACAACAAACGGAAAAGCGAUGCAGACAUGAAAAUUGGAGAGAUGCGUUUUUUUUCUUUUUUUUUUCUUUCUUUUUCUUAUACCGCUUUCAAAUUUCAUUAUCAUGUAACUACUCUUAUAAUUUUCUAUGUACGAUGUCAAGAUUCAUGGAAUAUUCAAUUUUAAAAUAAGCUUAGAAGCGAAUCUUUUCCAGCGUUGCAUUGCAUGCUUCCCAAUUUUUUAUGAAACCAACAUAUAAAUGGUUUCAUUACUUUAAAACACAGAUCUUGUCUUAAAAACCCGUUUCAAUAGUAGAAGAAAACGUGUCUUGCUUUCGCACUUUCCAUGGUACAAUUUCCACAAAUAUUCCUAUUGAAAAGAGACGCUUUUAAAUUUUAUUAUGCUCAUUAAAUAGCUGAUUUUUAGCAUAAAAUAAAUUGUGAAAAAUGUAUCUCGAUGAAGCAAGGCACGUCUUUAUCUGAUACAAACGGGCAGUAAACAGUGAGUACUAAACAAACAUGAAUACGCCAGUUAAAAGUUAUUACUGUGAUCCAAAUAUUCGAGACUAUGAAAUCGAAAUUUCGUCCAAUAUGUAGAUUCCGAAUAAGCUUAUACAGAAUAAGCUAUUAUAUUUAUCCAAAAAAUAGAGAUUGAUAUACCAAAUAUUGCCUACAUGUUUGCUGCCUCCGUGUCUCAUAUAACUUUGGCUUCCCGCUUUAGUAAUAGCAAGUUUCACAAGCCUUCAUAUUCGUUACUUAAAUACAGUAUGUUACAGAGAAACGCUUAUCUAUAAGAAUGCAUGUACAUCACCAUCACUUACCCCUAGUAACAUUUAGGAUAAUGUACACAAACAAGACAUGUACAGAUUCUUCGCCUGGAUAAUAGUUUUGAUACACUGUUGCAUAAACUUCAUAUACCAAUCUCAGUCGGUUUUCUGCUGAUAUAGUUCUUUUAAUGAUUUCAGUUCGUCGAUUAACGUCUGAUUCCUGUUCUCCAAUACCGCAACACGAUUCUCUAAGCACUUUAUAUAUUCCUUCUUCUUUCUUCUACAUUCACGUGCCGCCUCCCUAAACACAAAAUAUAUAGAGACAGCCUGUGGAAUGUAAAUACAGCCAGGAAAGAUAUGUAAAAGGAAGAUAAAGUAACCAACCUGUUUGGUAAUGGAGCGAAUGGGAAGACACUUCACUGUCCACGUUAGAAUCACACUCGGAAGAUGAUUCUAAGGGGGCAAACGACCGUCUGUAACACCGAAUCAAUCCAAACCCCCAUUAGCUCGUAACCGGUACUGCUAAUAUAUGUACGUCAUUUUAUGUAGAAUGUACCGCUUUUUUUCUUUUUUUCCAGAGCACCAAAUCAGAUACUUUAACAGAUUUUUGGAUUGCAUGGGAUAGAUAUUUUAGAUUUGCAAGAGAGCAUUUAUGCAUUUAGAGAGUAAAGUUUUUUUAUCACAGCGAUAAAUGAAAAGAACAAAAUAAGAAUUUGUUAUAAUAAUCGUGAUUUAUUGAACUAUUUCUUUUCUGGCUGUUGAUUAUAGCUGUAUAUUUAUCAUUGCGCUGUGUGCAGUCAGCUCAUACAAAAAAAAAUUAAAAUACUUUGAUUAUUGGGAAUAAUUUAUG